rnacentral:sRNA from 1 species
UAUAGACGCGUUAGCGUGGGUGUCAAUUC